rnacentral:rRNA from 1 species
GAUGAACGCUGGCGGCGUGCCUAAUACAUGCAAGUCGAGCGAAUGGAUUAAGAGCUUGCUCUUAUGAAGUUAGCGGCGGACGGGUGAGAAACACGUGGGUAACCUGCCCAUAAGACUAGGAUAACUCCGGGAAACCGGGGCUAAUACCGGAUAACAUUUUGAACCGCAUGGUUCGAAAUUGAAAGGCGGCUUCGGCUGUCACUUAUGGAUGGACCCGCGUCGCCUUAGCUAGUUGGUGAGGUAACGGCUCACCAAGGCAACGAUGCGUAGCCGACCUGGGAGGGUGAUCGGCCACACUGGGACUGGGACACGGCCCAGACUCCUACGGGAGGCAGCAGGAGGGAAUCUUCCGCAAUGGACGAAAGUCUGACGGAGCAACGCCGCGUGAGUGAUGAAGGCUUUCGGGUCGUAAAACUCUGUUGUUAGGGAAGAACAAGUGCUAGUUGAAUAAGCUGGCACCUUGACGGUACCUAACCAGAAAGCCACGGCUAACUACGUGCCAGCCGCCGCCGUAA